AUGCCUAAUAUUUACAAUGCUCUGGUGGUUAAGGGUCGAGGAUACGCUUGGUCAAGAAAUUAAGUGACUUGUGAAUUGUGAAGUAAGCCAUUAUUAGGAAAACAACCGAGUUAGAGCUUGUAGCUAUGAGCGCGACACCGAGGCCGAGGGUUUUUAAAGAGAGGGAUGGACGUGGUUUGAUAUGGGAAAUCCUCUAAGUGUUCCAGUCGGCGGAGCGGAAGCGUCUCUAGGACGAAUUUUCAAUGUACUUGGGGAACCUGUUGAAAUUUAGGUCCUGUCGAUACUCUCACAACAUCCUAUCCAUUAAAUCCGCGCUUGCUUUUAUAGACUUAGAUACCACCUUUCUAUUUUUUGAAACAGGAAUUAAUUAAAGUAGUAGAUCUUUUGGCCCCUUAUCGUCGUGGGGGGAAAAUGGACUAUUCGGUUGGGGCUGGCGUGGGGUUUAAAACAGUUACUAAUUAUGGAAUUGAUCAACAACAUUGGCAAAAGCUCAUGGGGUGUAUCCGUAUUUGGUUGGAGUAGGCGAACGAAACUCGUGAAGGAAACUGAUCUUUACAUGGAAAUGAAAGAAUAUGGAGUCAUUAAUGAACUAAACUUGCGGACUCCAAACGUAGCCCUAGUCUACGGUCAGAUGAAUGAACCGCCGGGAGCUCGUAUGAGAGUUGGUCUGACUGCCUUAAACUAUGGCAGAAUAUUUCCGAGAUGUUAAUGAGCAAGACGUCUUCUAUUUAUCGACAAUAUCUUCCGUUUGUACAAGGCAGGAUCCGAGGUAUCCGCUUUAUUGGGUUUAGAAUGCCUUCUGCUGUGGGUUACCAACCCACCCUUAGUCUUGUACCGAAAUGGGUUCUUUACAAGAAAGAAUUAAUUCUACGAAAAAAAGGGUCCAUAACCUCUUUCAAGCAGUUAUGUACCUGCAGACGAUUGGACUGACCCUGCUCCUGCCACCACAUUUGCACAUUUAGAUGCGACUACCGUACUAUCAAGAGGAUAGCUGCUAAAGGUAUCUAUCCAGCGGUAGAUCCUUUAGAUUCAACGUCAACUAUGCUACAACCUCGAAUCGUUGGCGAGGAACAUUAUGAAACUGCGCAACAAGUAAAGCAAACUUUACAACGUUACAAGGAGCUUCAGGACAUUAUAGCUAUCCUGGGGUUGGACGAAUUAUCCGAAGAGGAUCGCUUAACCGUCGCAAGAGCACGAAAGAUUGAGCGUUUCUUAUCACAACCUUUUUUCGUAGCAGAAGUAUUUACAGGUUCUCCGGGAAAAUAUGUUGGGCUAGCGGAAACAAUUAGAGGGUUUAAUUUGAUCCUUUCCGGAGAAUUUGAUUCUCUUCCUGAACAGGCCUUUUACUUAGUGGGUAACAUCGAUGAAGCUACUGCGAAGGCUACGAACUUAGAAAUGGAGAGUAAAUUGAAGAAAUGACCUUAAAUCUUUGUGUACUGACUCCGAAUCGAAUUGUUUGGGAUUCAGAAGUAAAAGAAAUCAUUUUAUCUACUAAUAGUGGACAAAUUGGCGUAUUACCAAAUCACGCGCCGAUUGCCACAGCUGUUGAUAUAGGUAUUUUGAAAAUACGCCUUAAUAACCAAUGGUUAACAAUGGCUCUGAUGGGCGGUUUUGCUAGAAUAGGCAAUAAUGAAAUUACUAUUUUAGUAAAUGAUGCAGAGAAGAAUAGUGACAUUGAUCCACAAGAAGCUCAGCAAACUCUUGAAAUAGCAGAGGCGAACUUGAGAAAAGCUGAAGGCAAGAGACAAACAAUUGAGGCUAAUCUAGCUCUCAGACGAGCUCGGACACGCGUCGAGGCUCUCAAUACGAUUUGAUUUUGUAACUAGCUGACGUAUAAAAAAAUAGGAUCCAAAAGCGA